GGUGGGCUUCUAGGGUUUCCUAGUUCCAGCUUUGUGAGAGAAAAACAAAAAGAAGUUUUAUUCUUCUUCUUUCACACCAUCUCCUUCUUGAAAAGCUCCAUCUUCUAAUAUGGAGGUAUCCAUUCGAUCUGAAGAAAUGAGUCUCCAUCAGCCAUCCAGAGCCUUCAUCACGAGCUAGCACUCCUGGAAAGGACAAUCUAUUCGGGGCUUCGAGUGGACUAUCUGUAGAGGCCAGAUGUGCUGUGCGGCUACUGGA
rnacentral:lncRNA from 1 species